rnacentral:rRNA from 1 species
GAUGAACGCUAGCUACAGGCUUAACACAUGCAAGUCGAGGGGCAUCACGGUGUAGCAAUACACUGGUGGCGACCGGUGCACGGGUGAGUAACACGUAUCCAACCUUCCCUUUACUCCGGGAUAGCCCAUCGAAAGGAUGGAUUAACACCGGAUGGUUUCGCGGGAUUGCAUGAUAUCGCGAAUAAAGGCUUACGGUAAAGGAUGGGGAUGCGUUCCAUUAGCUUGUUGGCAGGGUAACGGCCCACCAAGGCAACGAUGGAUAGGGGUUCUGAGAGGAAGGUCCCCCCACAUUGGAACUGAGACACGGUCCAAACUCCUACGGGAGGCAGCAGUGAGG